rnacentral:rRNA from 1 species
AAACGGGUGGUAAUGCCGGAUGCUCCAUCACACUGCAUGGUGUGUUGGGAAAGCCUUUGCGGCAUGGGAUGGGGUCGCGUCCUAUCAGCUUGAUGGCGGGGUAACGGCCCACCAUGGCUUCGACGGGUAGCCGGCCUGAGAGGGCGACCGGCCACAUUGGGACUGAGAUACGGCCCAGACUCCUACGGGAGGCAGCAGUGGGGAAUAUUGCACAAUGGGCGCAAGCCUGAUGCAGCGACGCCGCGUGAGGGAUGGAGGCCUUCGGGUUGUAAACCUCUUUUGUUAGGGAGCAAGGCAUUUUGUGUUGAGUGUACCUUUCGAAUAAGCACCGGCUAACUACGUGCCAGCAGCCGCGGUAAUACGUAGGGUGCAAGCGUUAUCCGGAAUUAUUGGGCGUAAAGGGCUCGUAGGCGGUUCGUCGCGUCCGGUGUGAAAGUCCAUCGCUUAACGGUGGAUCCGCGCCGGGUACGGGCGGGCUUGAGUGCGGUAGGGGAGACUGGAAUUCCCGGUGUAACGGUGGAAUGUGUAGAUAUCGAAAAAGAACACCA